GACGUAGGGGCCAGCGUUGUUCGGAAUUACUGGGCGUAAAGAGCUCGUAGGCGGUUUGUUGCGUCGGCUGUGAAAUCCCGAGGCUCAACCUCGGGUCUGCAGUCGAUACGAGCAGACUAGAGUGUUGCAGGGGAGACUGGAAUUCCUGGUGUAGCGGUGGAAUGCGCAGAUAUCAGGAGGAACACCAAUAGCGAAGGCAGCUCGCUGGGACGGUACUGACGCUGAGACGCGAAAGCGUGGGGAGCGAACAGG
rnacentral:rRNA from 1 species